UGCAGUCGACGGCAGCGCGGGGCAACCUGGCGGCGAGUGGCGAACGGGUGAGUAAUAUAUCGGAACGUGCCCUGGAGUGGGGGAUAACGCAGCGAAAGUUGCGCUAAUACCGCAUACGAUCUAAGGAUGAAAGCGGGGGAUUCGCAAGAACCUCGUGCUCCUGGAGCGGCCGAUAUCUGAUUAGCUAGUUGGUGGGGUAAAGGCCUACCAAGGCAUCGAUCAGUAGCUGGUCUGAGAGGACGACCAGCCACACUGGAACUGAGACACGGUCCAGACUCCUACGGGAGGCAGCAGUGGGGAAUUUUGGACAAUGGGCGAAAGCCUGAUCCAGCAAUGCCGCGUGAGUGAAGAAGGCCUUCGGGUUGUAAAGCUCUUUUGUCAGGGAAGAAACGGUGAAGGCUAAUAUCCUUUGCUAAUGACGGUACCUGAAGAAUAAGCACCGGCUAACUACGUGCCAGCAGCCGCGGUAAUACGUAGGGUGCAAGCGUUAAUCGGAAUUACUGGGCGUAAAGCGUGCGCAGGCGGUUUUGUAAGUCUGUCGUGAAAUCCCCGGGCUCAACCUGGGAAUUGCGAUGGAGACUGCAAGGCUAGAAUCUGGCAGAGGGGGGUAGAAUUCCACGUGUAGCAGUGAAAUGCGUAGAGAUGUGGAGGAACACCGAUGGCGAANGCAGCCCCCUGGGUCAAGAUUGACGCUCAUGCACGAAAGCGUGGGGAGCAAACAGGAUUAGAUACCCUGGUAGUCCACGCCCUAAACGAUGUCUACUAGUUGUCGGGUUUUAAUUAACUUGGUAACGCAGCUAACGCGUGAAGUAGACCGCCNGGGGAGUACGGUCGCAAGAUUAAAACUCNNGGAAUUGACGGGGACCCGCACAAGCGGUGGAUGAUGUGGAUUNAUUCGAUGCNNCGCGAAAAACCUUACCUACCC
rnacentral:rRNA from 1 species